GAUUGCCUCAGUAACGGCGAGUGAAGCGGCAAAAGCUCAAAUUUGAAACCUCGGGAUUGUAAUUUGAAGAUUUGGCAUUGGAGAAAGCUAACCCAAGUUACUUGGAAUAGUACGUCAUAGAGGGUGACAACCCCGUCUGGCUAACCGUUCUCCAUGUAUUGCCUUAUCAAAGAGUCGAGUUGUUUGGGAAUGCAGCUCAAAGUGGGUGGUAAACUCCAUCUAAAGCUAAAUACUGGUGAGAGACCGAUAGCGAACAAGUACUGUGAAGGAAAGGUGAAAAGAACUUUGAAAAGAGAGUGAAAUAGUAUGUGAAAUUGUUGAUAGGGAAGGAAAUGAGUGGAGAGUGGUUUAGGUUUCAGCCUUCUUUCGAGGGGGUGCACUACCAACGCCGAGUCAUUGAUAGCGAGACAGGGUUAUAAACGGACGGCACUUGUGCUAUUCUCCUAACCCCUCUACUGCCACCAACGACAUA
rnacentral:rRNA from 1 species